CGGCCUUUGUGCGUCGGCCCCCACCCGCCCCUGAUUGAUCCCACCUGAGUCUAAUCGCUUACACCUCCCCGGUGUAUUUAAAGCCUGUGCUCCCCCGGUGCCUGUGCCGGUUCAUCUUUGCCGGUGUCCAGUGGGCCGGUGCCGUCUUUGUCUCUUCUGACGGUUUCCCUGAGACGCUGCUGGUAUUGACGAAGGGAUGAAGAGCAAUGGAUGGAGAUCCGGAUGUCGGAUGUGGAGCAGGAAUUCUGAUGAGCUCAGCGGGGGGGGACCACGGCCGGUGAGAUCUGGAGUUUCGAUAACCAAUAGACUGCCUGGUAAACAUUUAGGAGCCCUGCUGAUCUGAGACGGGUCUGGAUGACCAUCAGCAGUAUACAAAAGCUACAUUGACUGACACUUCUGUAUGACUUCAAAACAGAAAAAAACAACUUCCACCGAGGGCACCGUGCAAGUGGGUUACCGCAGGAGCAGUUCUUCCAACAUCAAGGCACAUGUCAUACUUGUUUUUGAAGUGAAAUAAACAUUUACCGAUGAAUAAUUGAUUUUAUCUGUAUUAUUUGAGGGGGAG
ensembl:lncRNA